GUCAAAUUCACCCCAGAGGAACACUGAUGUAUGCAAAAUGUGUAUCGCUCAUUGAAGAAAUAUAAUCAUCAAAUGUUUAUGCUUAAUCAGUUGUCCCCGUCAAAUUAGGAAAGGUUAUGAAAUAUGAAGCCAAAAAGAAAAGUUAACUAAUAUUUUUUGAAUGAUAAACACUGAAUGGGUGAUCAAAUUGACCCCAAGUAUGACAGGAGGGUUAAACUCGCUACGCAGAUAAGCUACACAAAAACACCACUGUGUAUUGGAACAGGAACAGGAACAGGAAGUGAUACUCUACUGCAGAGUGAACACCAAGUGACCGGGACACAAAAGGGGGACUGACACAAUGAAACACAAAAUCAAGAACUAUAAAUAACAAUUUCAGGGGAACUAGAAAAGAACACAUUCAGGAACAAGAACAUAAAUGAACUUAUACUUUAAAGAAUAAAUAACAAGCCCAAAACCAUAACUCAAAGUACUGGAUCAAAGACCCAGGACCAUGACAGGUUUGUUUAUUAUAAGGUUAUUACACUAAUGUGUUAUUGUGCAGAGCCUGUUGUUACUGCAAUUACUUUAUUUGGAUCGUUUCAAUCUUUUUUCUUUUUAUGAAGUCAGUAUUUCCACAACCAUGAACUGUACAUGAACAUGCCUGUGUCAUUUUUUUAAACUACAUCUGUGUGCUCCUCCUCUGUUCAUAUUUGAUAAAUGGGAGAGGUAGUUCUUGGAAAAAAAGUAAAUAACAUACAUCAGGUUUCUGCAGUUGAGCUCUUGGUGUCAUUUGAGUGUUAUCUUUGAAAGCACAGACAUGGACUGGGAAGAAAUAUGCAGGACAGUCCUGGUGUCUGCAGGAGCUGGUGGAACUGUGAUUCUGACUCCUGCCAUUCUGGCUUCACUGGGGUUCACUUCAGCUGGAAUAGCAGCAGGCUCCAUCGCUGCCAAACUGAUGUCAUAUUUGGCAAUCGCUAGUGGAGGUGGAGUUGCAGCAGGAGGUCUCGUAGCAACCUUGCAGUCCUGGGGUGCAGCAGGUCUGUCAUGGGCUGCCACUGCAUUAUUUGGCGGUUUUGGUGGAGCAGCAGCUUGGGUGCUCUCAACUGUGUGUAACGUGACUGUGAUUUAUAAAGAUUAA
rnacentral:lncRNA from 1 species